rnacentral:lncRNA from 1 species
CCUGACCACUGAAAUUGCCAGAACUCAUGAACACAUUUUAGAAUGCAAAUGUAACCUGGGACAGGACUCACAUCCUUGGAUCCCAGACUCUUUGAUGACAGGAAGGCCAAACUAUCUCAAAUGGUUUUCAUGAAGAACUUACAGUGAGCCUACACGGAGUUGUCCAUACACAGAAGAACUGAGACCCCCCAGCCCCUGCCACUAGUGACAGCUCUCACUAACCUCCUG